rnacentral:rRNA from 1 species
CCUACGGGUGGCAGCAGUGGGGAAUAUUGGGCAAUGGGCGCAAGCCUGACCCCGCAACGCCGCGUGAAGGAAGAAGGCUUUCUGGUUGUAAACUUCUUUUCUCAGGGACGAAGCAAGUGACGGUACCUGAUGAAUAAGCCACGGCUAACUACGUGCCAGCAGCCGCGGUAAUACGUAGGUGGCAAGCGUUAUCCGGAUUUACUGGGUGUAAAGGGCGUGUAGGCGGGGACGCAAGUCAGAUGUGAAAACCACGGGCUCAACCUGUGGCCUGCAUUUGAAACUGUGUUUCUUGAGUACUGGAGAGGCAGACGGAAUUCCUAGUGUAGCGGUGAAAUGCGUAGAUAUUAGGAGGAACACCAGUGGCGAAGGCGGUCUGCUGGACAGCAACUGACGCUGAGGCGCGAAAGCGUGGGGAGCAAACAGGAUUAGAUACCCGGGUAGUC